rnacentral:ncRNA from 2 species
UCAACGGGCCGUGACUGGCGCGCUGGGAUGGGACCGACCAUCAGGGAGCGGCCCUGCGGGACAGUAGGGGUCCCGCGGGAAAACAGUGCCGUGCGCCUGGGCCGAACGU